UACGUAGGUGACAAGCGUUAUCCGGAUUUAUUGGGCGUAAAGCGCACGCAGGCGGUUUUGUAAGUCUGACGUGAAAUCCCCGGGCUCAACCUGGGAAUUGCGUUGGAGACUGCAAGGCUGGAGUCUGGCAGAGGGGGGUAGAAUUCCACGUGUAGCAGUGAAAUGCGUAGAGAUGUGGAGGAACACCGAUGGCGAAGGCAGCCCCCUGGGUCAAGACUGACGCUCAUGCACGAAAGCGUGGGGAGCAAACAGG
rnacentral:rRNA from 1 species